UGCCAGCAGCCGCGGUAAGACGGAGGGGGGGUGCGUUGUUAGGAAUUACUGGGCGUAAAGCGCGCGUAGGCGGAUUGGAAAGUUGGGGGUGAAAUCCCGGGGCUCAACCCCGGAACUGCCUCCAAAACUGCCAGUCUAGAGUUCGAGAGAGGUGAGUGGAACUCCAAGUGUAGAGGUGAAAUUCGUAGAUAUUUGGAAGAACACCAGUGGCGAAGGCGGCUCACUGGCUCGAUACUGACGCUGAGGUGCGAAAGUGUGGGGAGCAAACAGGAUUAGAUA
rnacentral:rRNA from 1 species